UACGUAGGGGGCAAGCGUUGUCCGGAUUUAUUGGGCGUAAAGAGCGUGUAGGCGGCCAAGCAGGUCCGCUGUGAAAACUCGAGGCUCAACCUCGAGACGUCGGUGGAAACCGUUUGGCUAGAGUCCGGAAGAGGAGAGUGGAAUUCCCGGUGUAGCGGUGAAAUGCGCAGAUAUCGGGAAGAACACCCGUGGCGAAGGCGGCUCUCUGGGACGGUACUGACACUGAGACGCGAAAGCGUGGGGAGCGAACAGG
rnacentral:rRNA from 1 species